UACAGAGGUCCCCGAGCGUUGUUCGGAUUCACUGGGCGUAAAGGGUGCGUAGGUGGCUUUGCAAGUCUGAUGUGAAAUCUCCGGGCCCAACCCGGAAAUGGCAUUAGAAACUGCGGGGCUAGAGGCUUGGAGGGGGAACUGGAAUGCUCGGUGUAGCAGUGAAAUGCGUAGAGAUCGAGCGGAACACCAGUGGCGAAGGCGAGUUCCUGGACAAGUCCUGACACUGAGGCACGAAAGCCGGGGGAGCAAACAGGAUUAGAUACCCUAGUAGU
rnacentral:rRNA from 1 species